UACGAAGGGGGCUAGCGUUGCUCGGAAUCACUGGGCGUAAAGGGUGCGUAGGCGGGUCUUUAAGUCAGGGGUGAAAUCCUGGAGCUCAACUCCAGAACUGCCUUUGAUACUGAGGAUCUUGAGUCCGGGAGAGGUGAGUGGAACUGCGAGUGUAGAGGUGAAAUUCGUAGAUAUUCGCAAGAACACCAGUGGCGAAGGCGGCUCACUGGCCCGGUACUGACGCUGAGGCACGAAAGCUAGGGGAGCAAACAGG
rnacentral:rRNA from 1 species